rnacentral:lncRNA from 1 species
GGCGGUGCGUUUUCUCUCUCUUUUCGCCGUUGUUUUCGCUUUUUUCUCUCGGUUGUUUUCCCCACUGUGGUUCGAAUUAAGUCACAUGAAUUAAAUAUUAAACGUACAUCAGAAAAUAUUCAUUUAAAGGUUCAUUUUAAUAGCAUCGUCACAUCACUACAGACCCACGACAGAAAUCUGAGGAAACAAAGAGACAAACCAGGGCAGAAUGUAAAUAAGAUCCUGGGGAAUGUACUGGGAGAACGGCAUCGGAGGGUGAACACCGGCAGCCGGGGUCGCCAUCCAUCACUCCGACUCAGGCCUGGUGCGGUGGACAAGCUCGGCACAGGCCAAGAAACCUGAGCCACUACAAGACAAACACAUGCUCCCUCCAAAAUAACAAUGGGCUCCAGUGACACUCGCUGCCUGCUGUCAGAGCUUCACCGCAGGCUCACGACAUCUGACAUUGUUAUAUUGAGCGUGUAUUGUUACCAGAGCCACAGUGAGAACAGGCCGGCCUGCUCGUACGAAGGAACGAAUGCCAAAGUUAAUCGCAAGUGACAACUUUAGGAGACAAUCCUGUGUUCUUUUUAGGCAAUAGGAAAUGUGAUACGGAAACUCAGAAGAGUAACAAAUAGGGACAUUGAGAGCAAUGUCAGACUGAGUGACAAGACACUAUAAAGACGGUAAUAAUGUUGCAAAAGAUUUUUGUUUCAAAUAGAUUCUGUUCUUUUGAACUUUCUACAAUGUAAAAAAAUAUUUUUAGAAAUUGUAAAUAAAAAAGGUAACACUUUAGUAUAGGGACCAAUUCUUACUAUUAACUAGUUACUUAUUAGCAUGCCUAUUAUCGACAUAUUGGCUGUUUAUUAGUGUUUAUAAAGCACAUAUUCUGCAUGGCCAAAUCUAAAACUCUAAUCCUACCCAAUACCUAAACUUAACAACUACCUUACUAACUAUUAAGCAGCUAAUUAGGAGUUUAUUGAGGCAAAAGUCAUAAUUAAUGGUUUGUUAAUAGCGAGAACUGGACCUUAAAAUAAAGUGUGACCAAAAAAAAAAAGAUUACUAGGAUAUUUUUACAAUAAUUAUUUUAUUAUUAUUUAUUAUUUUGGUGUUUCUACUUCAAAAUUUCAUUCACCUUGCUAUUUCUUUGUAAUUAUUUUUUAAUUAACUAGC